CCAGUUGGGGGCGGUACAGUCUGUGGCCCUGGGAGACCUUCACCACCACCUGGGAGUUGUCAUACAAGUCGUAGGGCUGCUUCCCCAGGCUGAACACUUCCCACAUCAGGAUCCCUGCAACCGCACGAAGGGCGACCAGCAGACAAAAAGGAAAGAGAGCUGACGUCAGAAGAGCCCCUCACCUCCUCUAGACCCAGACACGGCGCUGGCGCUGCGUUCUGCUCAUGGCUUAGACCUUCCUUCGAUGAUCAAGAUUCAGGACCUUUCCGGACACCUAUGAAAUCUUCACAUAGCCUGUUGCCAUGGGAUCAAUUUUACUCCCAUUUUUUAAUGGAAGAUCUGUUUAUCCUUCUCUCUCUCCAUCCAUCAAGCCGUCUUCCUGGUAUCACUACUGCUACUGCUGGGCUCUGAGGGCCCUUGACGGGGCAGCUACACCCUCCCACGGCCACCUGCCUGUUCGACAUCUCCAUCGGGACGGCAAAUGACAGCGGCGAAAAGAGCCCAAAGCUUCAUGUACAGCGUGACACUUCUCCUGUCCAGAGUGGGCCCCUGCUAGUGAAACGUUACAUGUCCCUUAUUCCAUUUGUAAACAUUGGCCCCUCUCUCACCUUUGUUCUUCCUCAGUUCAGUUCCUUCUAGCUUUUCAGCCCUGCUCUUUUCUUCCACGGGGUCCACGAACAGAGUUUCCUGCCUUGUGCUGGCAAUGCAAGCCCCUGGGCUUCGUUUCCACCCAUGGCUGACCUCUCUAAGACCAACAAAAAGGAAAGCUCUCGCUGCCGUGACAGUUUUUGGAGGUGGAGGGCAUUGUGAGUCCCAGAGGACACUCUGAAAAGGUGAUAAACCCAAAGCGUCCACCAAAGUAUUGCAAAUCUACUACAGAAGUGGAUGAAAAUGUACAGGGAAGCUGUUCCCUCCUGCCUGGUUUUAUUGCAAAGUUCUCCUUGUAAAUUCUACUUACAAGUAGAGGAGCUUUUGGGCCACCUGACCUCCAGAGGUUACUGCUAUGGCCUGUGGCAUGCGACUUGUAAUCUCUCAAGUCACGUUGAAUAAUUCCUUAUCUGGGGUGCUUGGGUGGCUCAGUGGGUUAAGCUUCUGACUCCAGCUC